UUUAGGGUUUAGGGUUUAGUAAUUAGGGUUUAGGGUUUAAUAUUUGGAACGUGAGGGUUGAGGUUGGGUCAAUAUUAACUUCUUCCAUACAAGCUUAGACAUUUCAUAAUUUCAAUAAUAUGUACUAUGCUACUUAUUUUAUUCCCUUUUAUUUGGGUUUGUGUUUUAUAUUUGGAUUUAGAGUAUGUUUGGGUUAAGGGUUUAGUGAUUAUGGUUUAUGGUUUAGUAGUUAGAAGUUAAGGAUGGGGUUGGGAUAGGGUUUAUCAUUUAGAGGUUAGGAUGGGAUUAGUGCCCUAUUCUAUUUUUAUGAUACGAAGUAAAACACUUCGAAAUAGGUGGGGUUAGUAUCAUAUACUAAUUUUCUGAUAUGAAAUACUCUUUUUAUUAAAAAUCUGUUUGAUCCACUCAUUUUACAUCAUUUAAUUAUUUUUUUGCAUUCACCAUCUCAUUAUGUGGAAAUGGACUUACAAUGUGUAGUAAAUGAAAUACCCCAUUAAUUAAAAAAUGUUAUAUUUUCAUCCACUUGUUAUAUAGCAAAUACGUACGUGGUAACCUAGUGUGUGACGUAAGUGACUUUAUAUGUUUUUGGCGUUCGGAUACCCAUUCGGGUUUGGAUCGGGUAU
rnacentral:lncRNA from 1 species